rnacentral:lncRNA from 10 species
CGCCAUGUUGCCCAGGCUGAUCUCAAGCUCUUGGGCUCAAGCAAUCCACCUGCCUUGGCCUCCCGAAGUGCUGGGAUUACAGGGUGAGAACCUACUUCUUCAUAAAGAGAAUUUGGAGGGAGCUUUUUGUUCUGCGGGGACAACAUCUGGAUUUGAAUACAUCCAUGCUCAAAAGGAGAUUUCUCAUAAUGGACCCAACUGAAAGCACUCAGAGUACAAGGACCGGUGAGCUUUCAAAAGGAGACACUUCGGGAGACUCGCCAGGGGCCCUCGUAUCCCCGGCAGCGCGAGUUUUGGAGGUCAGUGGAGGGCUCUCGCAUCAUGCAUGUAACUUUCAUACUCAAAAACUUACCUUCAUCCUGCAUCCCUCACCCCCCUGCAGAAACUUGGGGCUUGAAUUCAUUUAAAAACAUUUGCGGUUUCAGAAGCCUUCUUUUUAUUAUGAAGCUGCCAAGGAGAUCUUAGAAUGAAAGGCAUUUUUAGAGAUGAGAAAGAAGGAAGCCAGGCCAAGGCUGGGCCGGCUCUCAGCCGUGGGUCUGUAAAGGUGACACGUGGGACAUGGCCACCUGCAGACCCUGCAGGCGGCUGGGCAGAGGCACCCACAGGGACCUGGGUUUGAAUCCCUGCUCUGCCAGUCAUUUCCACAGCGAUCUUGGGGGAAGUUGUGUAACCUCUGGGCCCUGCGACGCCCUUUCCUGGAGCCUGGAGCUGGAACGAAGCCCCUUGGAGCCCUGACAUCAGAGGUGACGUUAGUCUUCGCAGGCAAUGACUCGGCGGAAUGUGAUGCCACUCCCUAACCCGUGUCCGGACUGGCAGAGUGUGUGCCGCCUCCCACCAGGUGGUCUGGCUGCUUUGAUGGAUCUCCUAACUUCUCUGCACCCCAGAGCCCUCAGUGCUGGCCAGACCUUCACUCACUCCUGGGUGACAACCCCGUUCUCAGAUAGUGGGUCCCACAGGCUGGCCUGUGGCGCCCCCUGCUGGUGACUGCAGGGAGAAGGAUGCCCUAAGCCAAAGGAAGUCCUUCCUGGGGUCUAAUCUCUACCUUUUGCAUGAUGAGGCAGCUGAGGUGGCUCGCUUUCUCCUCCACCCCAGAAAAUAAAGUCA